UGCUGGACCGAUUUUCCUCACGGUCCUUACCUUUCUGAGGCCAGAAAAGAGAGCGUUUUCUCUCUCUUCCGUUUCAAGUAUGAGCUGCGCUCUCUCCUCUACCUGCCACCGCACAGUGGGACAUUCGACAAUUUAGCUUUGUAAAUGAAAACCUUCGAUUUAGGAUAUCUUCAUGAAAUAAACUGCAUAUGAGAGGAAAAACUUCCAAAAUGUGCCACAAAAAGACCCAAAAAUAGUUUACUAAUACAUGUUUCCUUAGAAGUCUUUUAAACAUGGCAAUAUUUUGAACAGAAAAUGACUUGGCCGCAUCUUUUCGGCUGGUGUUCCACUGUGCGCCGCCGCGGCGGGAUACAAAAACAAACAACACAAACAACGAACGUGGUUUUUAUAAACAGCCUGUUGAUAUUUGAAUACCCUUUGCAAAGAGUAUGAUGAUGUCGACCAGAUUUUUCAUUGCAGACAUAAAUGUACAUAUUUAUUUACAUACUACUUGUGGGAAAAUCUUAUUUUUGAAGAUUCAUCAUGAUUUAACACACAACCCUCAGUUUCAAGCGUUUCAUAAAAAUAAAUUUUAUACCAUGGAACCCGUACAUUUUCAAGGGUAUCAAAUAUAUGCAUGUGUUGGUGAAUAGGAAGUGGAAGGCUCUGUCGUACACUGGAGGAAAAACAAUGGUAUCAAUACCAGGAAAAACUUUCCGGUAAUGUGUCUGUGGCGAAACAGAUGUUGGAUUAAUUGCUUUUGAGUCACUUUUCAAGUAAACAAUUGAUUGCAAUGUGGGAAAAUAUAAUUCACAUGCACAUAUGUUCUGCAAUAUGAAGUUUUGCUUAAAAGAUUUCGCGGGAAAAACGAAAUCGAAACAGAAUUAGUAUACUAUAUAAGAAACAGGAACGAUUUAAAGCAAACACAUUUACAAGAGUUAACAAAUAAAUAAAUACUUCCAACGUUUAAAGUAAAUGUGUUUACCGUAGGAAAUAUAUCAUGCAGACGUUCAUAUAGGUUUUCUAAACUAAACAAAGUUUGUACUCAAUUCUUUGUUUUAAAAAUUGUUUAGUACUAUUUCUCAGUGGAGCACAUAUGUCCAUUAGUUUGGUUUGGAUGAUGUACGAUUCUUUCAGCUUAAUGCAAUAAAUGCCAUGUUCAAACCACCCCCGCACCCGCUGUUAAUCAGGGCAAAUUUCUCUCAGUGCAGAGCCAAAGAUGCUGCGCCUGCGCUCUCGCAGGUAGGUAGAAAAAAUGUUAAUGUGUGUGUGUGUGUUGAAUCUGUCAACU